rnacentral:rRNA from 1 species
GAUGAACGCUGGCGGCGUGCCUAAUACAUGCAAGUCGAACGCUGGAAAUCUAGCUUGCUAGAUUGAAGGAGUGGCGAACGGGUGAGUAAUACAUAAGCAACCUACCCACGAAGACUGGGAUAAUCUCUGGAAACGGGGACUAAUACCGGAAAGGUAAUCGGAAGGCAUCUUCUGAUUAUUAAAGGUUAAAAACACUGGUGGAUGGGCUUAUGGCGUAUUAGUUAGUUGGUGAGGUAACGGCCCAUCAAGACGAUGAUUCGUAGCCGGACUGAGAGGGUGAACGGCCACAUUGGGACUUAGACACGGCCCAGACUACUACGGGAGGCAGCAGUAGGGAAUUUUCGGCAAUGGGGGAAACCCUGACCGAGCAACGCCGCGUGAGUGAUGGCGGCCUUCGGGUUGUAAAGCUCUGUUGUAAGGGAAGAACGGUAGAUAGAGAAUAUCUAAAUGACGGUACCUUACCAGAAAGCCACGGCUAACUACGUG